rnacentral:rRNA from 1 species
UACGAAGGGGACUAGCGUUGUUCGGAUUUACUGGGCGUAAAGCGCGCGUAGGCGGAUCGCUAAGUCAGGGGUGAAAUCCCAGGGCUCAACCCUGGAACUGCCUUUGAUACUGACGGUCUGGAGAUCGGGAGAGGUUGGUGGAAUUCCGAGUGUAGAGGUGAAAUUCGUAGAUAUCAGGAGGAACACCGACGGCGAAGGCAGGUCUCUGGGCCGAUACUGACGCUGAGGAGCGAAAGCGUGGGGAGCGAACAGG